CUACGGGCUGCACCAGUGAGGAAUCUUCCGCAAUGGGCGAAAGCCUGACGGAGCGACACCGCGUGGAGGACGAAGGCCUUUUGGUUGUAAACUCCUGUUCUGGGGGAAUAAAUGAUGAAGGUACCCCAGGAGAAAGCACCGGCUAACUACGUGCCAGCAGCCGCGGUAAUACGUAGGGUGCAAGCGUUAUCCGGAAUCAUUGGGCGUAAAGCGUUCGUAGGUGGUUAAGUAAGUUUGUGGUUAAAUCUGGUCGCUCAACGAUCAGUUUGUCACGAAAACUGCUUAACUAGAGAUUGGCAGAGGCAACUGGAAUUCCACAUGUAGGGGUAAAAUCCGUUGAUAUGUGGAGGAACACCAAAAGCGAAGGCAGGUUGCUGGGCCAUUUCUGACGCUGAGGAACGAAAGCGUGGGGAGCAAACAGGAUUAGAUACCUCAGUAGUC
rnacentral:rRNA from 1 species